UACGGAGGGUGCGAGCGUUGUCCGGAAUCAUUGGGCGUAAAGGGCGCGUAGGUGGCCCGGUCAGUCAGUGGUGAAAGCGCGGGGCUCAACUCCGCGUCGGCCAUUGAUACUGCGGGGCUGGAGCACUGUAGAGGCAGGCGGAAUUCCGGGUGUAGCGGUGGAAUGCGUAGAGCUCGGGAAGAACAUCGGUGGCGAAAGCGCUCUGCUGGACUGCAACUGACACUCAGGGACGAAAGCUAGGGGAGCGAAUGGG
rnacentral:rRNA from 1 species